GGAUGUAGCUCAGUGGUAGAAUGUUUGCCUAGCAUGCACAAGACCCUGGGUUCAAUUCCCAGUAUCACCA